GACGAACGCUGGCGGCGUGCCUAACACAUGCAAGUCGAGCGAGUGGAUCUCCUUCGGGAGUGAAGCUAGCGGCGGACGGGUGAGUAACACGUGGGCAACCUGCCUCAUAGAGGGGAAUAGCCUUUCGAAAGGAAGAUUAAUACCGCAUAAGAUUGUAGCUUCGCAUGAAGUAGCAAUUAAAGGAGCAAUCCGCUAUGAGAUGGGCCCGCGGCGCAUUAGCUAGUUGGUGAGGUAACGGCUCACCAAGGCGACGAUGCGUAGCCGACCUGAGAGGUGAUCGGCCACAUUGGGACUGAGACACGGCCCAGACUCCUACGGGAGGCAGCAGUGGGGAAUAUUGCACAAUGGGGGAAACCCUGAUGCAGCAACGCCGCGUGAGUGAUGACGGCCUGGUGUAAG
rnacentral:rRNA from 1 species